UUUGGUCCCCUUCAACCAGCUGUA
rnacentral:ncRNA from 3 species